GUGGGAAGAAUGGCUGAUAUGAAGGAGAACGUUUCUAGGAGUCACUUUUCCCUAGGUUUGACAUCCAGAUCCUGCUGGUUCACAAACAGGCCACAGAGAGCUCUUGAUGGACCAGCAGGACCAUUGUGAUGUAAUCUGAUUUAGGACUUUGAGACAUUGUGUGAGCCAUCCUCUGAGGCUGAUUUCGACUCUUUCAGCAAAUGCUCUUCUCUCUGGCUUCAAGUUGCUGCAAUCAUUCAUUGAGGUAACAGUACAAAGCUGCCAAUUUGAAAAUAAGGCUUUGCUCAGUAGCAGAAGAAAAUGAGAAAUUCAAGGUGGAUUUUAGCUCUUCCCUGGGAUACUUCACCUGCCUGUGAGAGGACCUGGCUGUAUGCACACAGCAAAUACCUGGGGCAGCUGCCCUGAAGUCACUGAGUGGAGCCUCUGUGCAAGCCAUUCAUCUCUCCUGCAGAACUGAGAGAAACCUGAAACUGUUCACAGCCAGAGAGACUGAGAAAGCACCUUGUCUGUGUCACACCCUGGGAUGAACUGCACUUGUCAGUGGAAGAUACAGCAGGAAGAAAACUCCAGAGAAAUUGCAAGAUCCAUUUGUAACAAGCAUAAUAAAUAUCAAUAAAUUGAAUGGUCAGGAAUAGCACCUACAUAAACAGGAUGUGGCAACUGGAGUGAGCAUAUUAAACUAUACUCAUCAAAUGAUCAGAUUUGCAGUGGGACAAGAGUAUUUAUAUUUUUAAAAAUGAUUUAUGGCUGUCAGAACCCUGGGAAAAGGUUAUGGUUCAUGAAGGAGUUGGACAGGCAGAAAUGUGACCGUUCUCAUAGUUGGAAAUCUAGAAAUGCGUGGAUCGUUUGGAAGGCUCUGGAUGCUGCAAAACAAGUCCUAUAUUGGCACAGUAAUGCAACACUUGCAACAUCUACAUGCCUUUUGUUAAGGAGGACAAUGGAAAUGUGAGGAGUUUGGGUACUUGAGUCCAUGCAUCUUGGGAAUGUUUAUAAAAGCAUUAACAAAUAAAUUAAUUAAUUAAGGAUGGCUGUGCUUUAAGGAUGUCUUGCAACUUCUGGCUGCCUUGGAAAUCACCCAGUCAAAAUCAUCAGGAUUUUUUCAAAUACCUAGUCAUUGGAUAUUUUGCAAAAGCCGUCUAAAUAACUUUGGAAAAUGAACAGUCUUGGAUAACUCAGAAAAGGUGCCUGAAUAUUUCCAAUAUUUUACUACAUAUAAUUCAUUGUAGACUAACAGCAUUAAUGUCAAAUCCAGCUAGUUGCACAAUAAUUGAGGAGUCAUAAAAUGUUUCUGGGAAUCACCAUGUAAUUACCAUUGUCUCCAGUGGUGGUACAGGAAGAUAAUAUGCAAUAUUUCAAGAUAUUUAAUUAAGAAGUGUCAGUGAGUUACCUUGAAGAUAACUUCUAUCACCCCUGUAUGACAGGGUUGUGUAUGACUGGAUGAUGGAUGAGUCCCCUCAGUAUGAAAGACAGAUGAACUGAGGAACAUCAACAUGAUAUGCAGAAGUCAUUAUGAUGAAGUGUAUAUAAUUGUUGUUUACUCUUUAAAGGUGACCUACAAAUACAAUGCUUUAUGGUUAUUUUUCUUGUCUUCUUUAUAAUGCAAUAAAAAUUUCUACAAAGUUC